ACUCCUACGGGAGGCAGCAGUGGGGAAUAUUGCACAAUGGGGGAAACCCUGAUACAGCGACGCAGCGUGCGGGAUGACGGCCUUCGGGUUGUAAACCGCUUUCAGCAGGGAAGAAGCCGUAAGGUGACGGUACCUGCAGAAGAAGUACCGGCUAACUACGUGCCAGCAGCCGCGGUAAUACGUAGGGUACGAGCGUUGUCCGGAAUUAUUGGGCGUAAAGAGCUCGUAGGUGGUUGGUCACGUCUGCUGUGGAAACGCAACGCUUAACGUUGCGCGGGCAGUGGGUACGGGCUGACUAGAGUGCAGUAGGGGAGUCUGGAAUUCCUGGUGUAGCGGUGAAAUGCGCAGAUAUCAGGAGGAACACCGGUGGCGAAGGCGGGACUCUGGGCUGUGACUGACACUGAGGAGCGAAAGCAUGGGGAGCGAACAGGAUUAGAUACCCUGGUAGUCCAUGCCGUAAACGUUGGGCACUAGGUGUGGGGGACAUUCCACGUUUUCCGCGCCGUAGCUAACGCAUUAAGUGCCCCGCCUGGGGAGUACGGUCGCAAGGCUAAAACUCAAAGGAAUUGACGG
rnacentral:rRNA from 1 species